CCUACGGGUGGCAGCAGUCGAGAAUCAUUCACAAUGGGGGAAACCCUGAUGGUGCGACGCCGCGUGGGGGAAUGAAGGUCUUCGGAUUGUAAACCCCUGUCAUGUGGGAGCAAAUUAAAAAGAUAGUACCACAAGAGGAAGAGCCGGCUAACUCUGUGCCAGCAGCCGCGGUAAUACAGAGGGCUCAAGCGUUGUUCGGAAUCACUGGGCGUAAAGCGUGCGGAGGCUGUUUCGUAAGUCGUGUGUGAAAGGCGCGGGCUCAACCCGCGGACGGCACAUGAUACUGCGAGACUAGAGUAAGGGAGGGGGAACCGGAAUUCUCGGUGUAGCAGUGAAAUGCGUAGAUAUCGAGAGGAACACUCGUGGCGAAGGCGGGUUCCUGGACAUUAACUGACGCUGAGGCACGAAGGCCAGGGGAGCGAAAGGGAUUAGAUACCCGGGUAGUC
rnacentral:rRNA from 1 species